CCACCAAGGCUGUUAAAUGUCUUUACAUCCAAAAUUCUAGCCAUGCCUUGGCGUUGGCUGAGUCUCACUCUCACGCAGUGGUCCACGUGAAGUGCACUCAAAUCUUUACCUCCAAAGAUACCCUUCACACGGCUCUCCGAUCGAGGUAAGGUAUAUCUGAUUUUGUGCCCCUUCUCUUAGGCUGGUCCACAGAACCUCCACUGUAGGGAUUAUGAAUUAUUUUAUCUACCACCUGAUUUAUAAAAUCUUUUUCUGCAUGACAUAACAAUUUAUCGCAACCUAGCCUUUCAAGGUUGAAUACACAAUACAAAUAAUUCUAACACCAAAAUCAGUUUAGCCAUUCAUGAUCAUAUAUUGUCAUAAGCCAUUCAAUUUAGAACCAUAAAUUUACAACACAAGUAGGUAGUCUCCAAUUACUCUAUUUUCAAAACCAGUAUUCAAUUUUUCAGAAAAUUUAUAAAAUCAUUUUAUAAAAGCACAAUUUCUCCUAAAAACAUAGCAAUUUAUCAUUUAAACCUAUUUUUCGUAAAAUCAUACAAUUGUAUAAAACUACUCUAAAUAAAUAAGACGAUAAUAAGUUCACUCAAAGUUCUAGGAGUCGAUGUACUCUUAAUCCCAGUCUUCAAGCAUAAUCUCUGUACUUUUACCAGUGUAAUUUGCUCACCACCUAUCCACAAUAUACAAUACAUAAUUCACCACAUUAAUGCUUGACCAUUAUAAAUCAAUUCAGGCUCGGUGUAUAUGCAUAAUAUGACAUGCAACUUAUCCGACUACCGCUUAAAUACGGUGCUGACCUAAUUCGGCCUAUUACCCGAUUAAAUUACUAAUGCAUCUAAUUUAAUCCCAAAUUACUCCAUUUCUUUUCUAAUACCUCAAUUCACCAAACAUUAUGCAAAUAACAGCAAUUUCAGCAUCAAAACCUUCCCAUUUCUUCAUGGAAAAAUUCAGCCAUUACAGUGCACUAACAUCAUGAUUUUUCCUAAUUAAUUUUCUCUCCAUAAUUCAUUAAUUUCUACACCAAAAACUAUUAUUUCUUAAUCAAAUCACCUAGAAUAAUAUCCAAUUCUUCCUCAUUUUUCACUUAGAGAAUUAGGCUAAGGCUAGGUAAUGGGAAAAAUGAAUGUUUUUCUACAUAUUUUGUUUACUAACAUGCUAAACUAACACUAAACACUAACAUAUAUAUGAAAAUCAAAUCAAUCCAACAAUUUUCUCUCUCUAGACCCAUAUGACCAGCCAUGAAAUCACCAUGAAAACAUGCAAUUUAAUCAUGGAAAGUAAGGAGAAAUGCUUGGGAAUAAGAAAACUCAAGCUUAAUAGAAAAAAUCUCACCUUUUUCACUUAAUUUCCUUGAAAAUUCACACUUUUUCUUUGAUUUUCUCUCUCUAGGGUUUGGUUUUUGUUUUCUCUCUCUUCUUGCUGGUUUGACC
rnacentral:lncRNA from 1 species